CCUACGGGCGGCAGCAGUGAGGAAUAUUGCUCAAUGGGCGCGAGCCUGAACCAGCCAAGUAGCGUGAAGGAUGGCUGCCCUACGGGUUGUAAACUUCUUUUAUAAAGGAAUAAAUUAAGGCACGUGUACCAUUUGGUAUGUACAUUGUGAAUAAGGAUCGGCUAACGCCGUGCCAGCAGCCGUGGGAAGCCGGAUGAUACGAGCGUUAUCCGGAUUUAGUGGGUUUAACGGGAGCGUAGAUGGGUUGGUAAGUCAGUUGUGAAAGUUUGGGGUUCAACCGUAAAAUUGCAAUUGAUACUGGGAGUCGUGAGUACAGUUGAGGUAGGCGGAAUUAGUGGUGUAGCGGUGAAAUGCUUAGAUAUCACGAAGAACUCUGAUUGCGAAGGCAGCUUACUAAACUGUCACUGACAUUGAUGCUCGAAAGUGUGGGUAUCAAACAGGAUUAGAUACCCGAGUAGUC
rnacentral:rRNA from 1 species